AGUACCAAGCACAACUAGCCCACUACAACCAGCCACGCAAUCUUUCCAGCCGAUACCGAGCACAACUAGUCCACACCAAGCAGCCAUGCAAGCCUUUGCCUUGACAAGAAACAUUCAAUUACCAUCCAGAGAGAGUGAAGAUGCUGCAAUGACACGAGCUAUUCUGGCAGUUCUAACUUCUCCUUCAUCUUCUACCAGUUCUUCAAUAACACCUAACCUACCUUACCAUUACCGGGAAAGCCAGAGAACUAGUGCUUUCAAGAAUUAUCUGACCCCCACAAGACUAAUGAGCCAAAGUUUACGCAAGCAAAGUAUGCUUAAAAGGGCAAUCACUUAUUACAGGAGCUUAAAUACUGUGAGACGGGAACAUAUGCUGGCAAGUCGCCCUACCAGCACUCAGUUGCACCACAUGAUAUCAGAGCGCAGAAGGCGUGAAAAGAUCAAUGAAAGCUUUGAAGCAUUGAGAAAAAUUCUCCCUACAGAAGCCAAGAAAGACAAAGCAUCGGUGCUUACUCGAACAAGGGAGUACUUAACCUCUCUGAAAGCUCAAGUCGAAGAGCUUAGCAAGAGAAACCAGCAAUUAGAGGCACAAGUACUACAACAACUACCAGCGAAAGAAGUAGCGCAAGAAGAAAGUGAGACCUCAUCAACUGAAAGAGUUGAACUCCGGCUUGCACAUGUCUCUGAAUCAACCUCAGAAGAACAAAGAAUCAUCGACCUUCAAGUUGUACUAAGAGGAGAAUGCCCUAUUCAAGAUAUGGUGAUUCGGAUUCUGGAGUUCUUGAACCAAGUUAACAAUGUGAACGUGAUGUCCGUAGAAGCCAACACACGUACAACAGAAUCAAGAUCCAUGAAUCGAGUAAUCUUGAGACUGAAAAUUGAGGGGGAAGAAUGGGACGAGUCUGCCUUCCAGGAAGCAGUAAGAAGGGUUGUUGCUGACCUGGCACAGUGACACACUGGGACCCUCCACUACUCCCUAGAUUAUUCAUUCUUGAAAUAUUAGAUUUUUGAUAUAGCAAUCUAAUUACAUUCUUGCCUGGCGGCGCCACUUCAUACAUUUCAUAGGCUGUAUUAUUUUGAGCUCAUGUAUUACUUUUCU
rnacentral:misc_RNA from 1 species